UACGAAGGGGGCUAGCGUUGCUCGGAAUCACUGGGCGUAAAGGGCGCGUAGGCGGCCCGCUAAGUCGAACGUGAAAUCCCCGGGCUCAACCCGGGAACUGCGUCCGAUACUGGUGGGCUCGAAUCCGGGAGAGGGAUGCGGAAUUCCAGGUGUAGCGGUGAAAUGCGUAGAUAUCUGGAGGAACACCGGUGGCGAAGGCGGCAUCCUGGACCGGUAUUGACGCUGAGGCGCGAAAGCCAGGGGAGCAAACGGG
rnacentral:rRNA from 1 species